GGAUGUGAGGGCAAUCUGGCUCAGACAUCUGUCACCCCAUUGAUCGCCAGGGUUGAUUCGGCUGAUCUGGCUGGCUAGGUGGGUGUCCCCUUCCUCCCUCACUGCUCCAUGUGUGUCCCUCCCAAAGCUGCACUCUCUGUGGAAGAGGACGACCUUCCCCGAAUAGAGGAGGACCGGUCUUCGGUCAAGGGUAUACGAGUAGCUGUGCUCCCCUGCUAUAACCUCCAAACAAUCUCUCAAGGUCCAUUAAUACCUGAAUUCUUGGUAGAUACAACGUCAGAACUCAAAGAAGUUCUGAAACAAAGGAAAAUACAAUUAAGAAUUUUAUAUCUAGCAAAACUAUCUUUAAAU
rfam:Mesocricetus auratus contig089724, whole genome shotgun sequence.